GGUGCGGUGUAGUGCAUUCUGGUAGUUGAAGGUUUUCUAGCUUUUGAGCGAAUGGGAAUAUCAUAGCUUCUUUUCUGCUCAUGUAAUAC